UCCCUGGUGGCUCAGAGGGUAAAGCGUCUGCCUACAAGGCAGGAAACCCAGGUUCAGUUCCUGGGUUGGGAG
rnacentral:tRNA from 1 species